GACGAACGCUGGCGGCGUGCUUAACACAUGCAAGUCGAACGAUGAACCCGGAGCUUGCUCCGGUGGAUUAGUGGCGAACGGGUGAGUAACACGUGAGUAACCUGCCCUUGACUCUGGGAUAACUGCGGGAAACUGUAGCUAAUACCGGAUACGACCCUCGGCGGCAUCGCCAGGGGGUGGAAAGAAUUUCGGUCAAGGAUGGACUCGAGGCCUAUCAGCUAGUUGGUGAGGUAACGGCUCACCAAGGCGACGACGGGUAGCCGGCCUGAGAGGGUGACCGGCCACACUGGGACUGAGACACGGCCCAGACUCCUACGGGAGGCAGCAGUGGGGAAUAUUGCACAAUGGGGGAAACCCUGAUGCAGCAACGCCGCGUGAGUGAUGACGGCCUUCGGGUUGUAAAGCUCUGUCUUUGGGGACGAUAAUGGCGGUACCCAAGGAGGAAGUCACGGCUAACUACGUGCCAGCCGCCGCCGUAA
rnacentral:rRNA from 1 species